GGAGGAACGGCGUUCUUUUAGAUUGCAUGAGGCAAGAUUGAAGCUCGAACGGCGUGAAAGAAACCCGGCAGUAUAGCAAGUCUGAGAGCGGCUAACAUUUGAUGUCUUCGAUACCGCUGAUACUGCUGAUAUCGCUAAUACCACUGAUGCCAUUAAACUACUCCUAAUACCACUGAUGCAGUUGCAGAUGCCGACAAUUAGCUGAAACCCUAUAAGAUGUAUGUACCUGCUCAUAGUUGUUCAUAGUUGUUCACACGGAAUAAUCAAAAAGAAGCUGUGUGAAGCUGUGUGAAAAGGAGUAAUGGAUGUAAAGAGAACGUAAAGAGAAAAGAGAUUUAAAGAGAUUUAAAGAUAAGCUAAGUACUCCCUUUUCUUUUACUCCCUACUUACUGCUUAUGCUGUGGAAAGCUGUG